rnacentral:lncRNA from 1 species
UGAAUGCCAAGAGGUGGACGUUGAUAUUCAUCCCACUCCCUAGCCAGAGCCAUCCGUCGACACGUAGCCGCUUCACCAGAUGUUCGCUACUAUGAAUAGGAAUAGUCAGGAUGUUUAGGCUAUGCAACAGACAUUUAUGGCCAUGGAUUUGAGAAUGAAGAUGAUGCAAAUUGAUCUCCAGAUUGCUCAGGAUAAUAUCAGCAUGAUAUGGGAGUUGAUCUUCAACAUGCGCAGGCAUUAUGACCUACGCGUUGGUCGCCGUGAUCGAUACAUUAGAUGAGUUGAUG